rnacentral:tRNA from 1 species
GCUCUAAUAGCUUAACACCUAAAGCAUUGUUCUUGUAAACCAAAGCCGGGCGGACCCCCUUAGAGCA